CCUUUUCCAAGGAUCCUUCAAAAUGCAGGUUAAAUUCAACCAAUUUGUGUCAAGGAUGAAGGAAUCUUCAGUGACGCUGACUCUACAGACUGUCUCUCCAGAAGACUGGCAACCAUCUACUUCGUCAACUUCAAUAAGCAAUGAAAAUACUUUGAGACUACCUGCCUCUUUUGAAAUUCCAAGAUUUCCCAAAAAUCUCCAACUAAAACUGGACAACAAAGAACCGUGUCAUAAAAAUCCAAGGGACAGACACACAAUAAUCAGAGUUCUAUAUGAAGCUGUGGCACAGUAUACUAUGUAUCCCACAAAUUCUGAAUAUGUGCAAGCUGUGAAGACGCUGGUAAUGAAGUAUCCUUUCCUCAAGGAUCGUGAGGGAAAUGGUUAUGGACCAUGCGUCCAAGGAGAGGAUUUAUUAUCCAUAGACGCCCACUUAAAGGUCUUACAGUGCCAAUAUCAGAAGAUGCAACCAGAUACCAUGGUGGUUCAUAACCGUGUGCAGUAAACGUUUGCUUGGCGGCAGAAAGAAAUUGCAAAUGGUAUGCCUGUGGAGGAUGUGUUGAAGAAGUACCCCUUCUUAGGGAUGCCUACUGGUCUGUGCAACGAACUCGGGUGGAUCCAACCAACAACGGGUAAUGUAAGCCAGCGAUUUCGUGAAGGGCUCUCAUGUGUUGCAGCAAAGGUGAUUGACCUUACACAAGGGAAAACCCCACUCUACCAGCUCUACCUUGAUGCAAGAGAGGAGGCUCUCACUGAUGACCUACCGGGUAUUUGCUUUUUUUUUUUUUUUUUUUAACUUCAAGGCUUCCAUUUUAUAUAAUUUUUAUAGGUAACUGGAAAUGCCAGAUAAAAUGCAUGGGUGAUCUUGUGUUUUGUUGUUUUUUUGGCAGAUCUUGACACAAGGGCUGCACUUUUAUUCCUGCCAUACGUCUUCAAGGAGAAACUGGAUCUCUUUGUCAUACUUGGAGAGGUGUGUGUAUUAAAAUAUUUAGUCUAUAUAAAAGGAAAACAAAUGUAUCUUUUGUUAAGAGACUAAUAUAUUGCUUUCCUCUACCUUCUCUUUUGACUUCAAAGGUUCAUCCUAAAACCCCCUAUCCAACUGUUCAGCUACUUCAUGAAGACUGGAAACCAGUGUUCUCCAGAAGCGCUCCAAACAUUGUGAAGUUGCAUGGCAGUGAAGUGUGCAGAAGCUCGUGUAUUUUUGAAGGAAUCAUCUCUUCUUUCUGCUUGUAUUUUGUCUUCAACCUUGCUUAUCCAAAACAUCUGAAGAACA
ensembl:lncRNA